rnacentral:lncRNA from 1 species
UUUGGAGCAGUGGAAAGUGUUAAGGCAACAAGUGAUAUCUACUCUCCAAUCUCAGGAGAAAUUGUUGAGGUUAACUCAAAGCUCACAGAAACACCUGGCCUGGUAAUUAAUUCCAUUAGUAUUCUUUUUCCUUCAUCAUUUCUCUAUAUCAGAAAAUCAAACAUGCUCUUCAAGCAUAACUAAAGAACAUAAACAAAUUCAUAACCUCUCAUUACCUGAUUAUAUAUACUCAUACUUUUGUACUUAUUUUACUUGAAGAUCAACACAAGCCCAUAUGAAGAUGGAUGGUUGAUCAAAAUAAAGCCAAGCAAUCCAUCUGAACUGGAU